GAUGAACGCUGGCGGCGUGCCUAAUACAUGCAAGUCGAGCGAACAGAUGCGGAGCUUGCUCCUCUGACGUUAGCGGCGGACGGGUGAGUCACACGUGGAACACCUCCCUAUCAUACUGGGAUAACUUCGGGACACCGGAGCUAAUACCGUAUAAUCUCUUGCUCCGCAUGGUUCAAUAGUGAAAUACGGUUUUUGUGUCACUUCUCGCUGGAUCUGCGCCGCAUUAGCUAGUUGGUAAGGUAACGGCUUACCACGGCGACGAUGCGUAGCCGACGGGAGAGGGUGAUCGGCCACACUGGAACUGAGACACGGUCCAGACUCCUGCGAGAGGCAGCAGUAGGGAAUCGUACGCAAUGGGCGAAAGCCUGACGGAGCGACGCCGCGUGAGUGACGAAGGUCUUCGGAGCGUAAAACUCUGUUAUUAGGGAAAAACAAAUGUGGAAGGAACUAUGCACGGCUUGACGGUACCUAAUCAGAAAGCCACGGCUAACUACGUG
rnacentral:rRNA from 1 species